AGUGAACGCUGGCGGCGUGCCUAAUACAUGCAAGUCGAACGAAGUGGCGCACGGGUGGGUAAUAUAUAGUUAAUCUGCCCUACACAGAGGAACAACAGUUGGAAACGACGGCUAAUACCUCAUAGUGUAGGAUGAGACUAUAUCGUAUCAGCUAGUUGGUAAGGUAAUGGCUUACCAAGGCUAUGACGCGUAACUGGUCUGAGAGGAUGAUCAGUAACAUUGGAACUGAGACACGGUCCAAACUCCUACCGGAGGCGGCAGUAAGGAAUAUUGCGCAAGGCGGGAGACCCUGGCGGGGCAUCGCGGCGUAGAGGAUUACACGUUUCGGAGCGUAAACUCCUUUUAACAGGAAAGCGGUACCUGAUGAAUAAGCACCGGCUAACUCCGUGCCAGCCGCCGCGGUAAUAC
rnacentral:rRNA from 1 species